GACGAACGCUGGCGGCGUGCUUAACACAUGCAAGUCGAACGAAGAGCGAUGGAAGCUUGCUUCUAUCAAUCUUAGUGGCGAACGGGUGAGUAACGCGUAAUCAACCUGCCCUUCAGAGGGGGACAACAGUUGGAAACGACUGCUAAUACCGCAUACGAUCUAAUCUCGGCAUCGAGGAUAGAUGAAAGGUGGCCUCUACAUGUAAGCUAUCACUGAAGGAGGGGAUUGCGUCUGAUUAGCUAGUUGGAGGGGUAACGGCCCACCAAGGCGAUGAUCAGUAGCCGGUCUGAGAGGAUGAACGGCCACAUUGGGACUGAGACACGGCCCAGACUCCUACGGGAGGCAGCAGUGGGGAAUCUUCCGCAAUGGACGAAAGUCUGACGGAGCAACGCCGCGUGAGUGAUGACGGCCUUCGGGUUGUAAUGCUCUGUUAAUCGGGACGAAAGGCCUUCUUGCGAAUAGUGAGAAGGAUUGACGGUACCGGAAUAGAAAGCCACGGCUAACUACGUG
rnacentral:rRNA from 1 species